AAACUGCAACUAAGACGGUUCUAUUUUCAACAAAAAUGCUGAGGCUUGAUCACCAAACUAUUGAGUCAAAUGAAUUGACUCAUUUGAGUUAAAAUUUUGAACAAGUUAUUUGUAGAGGAGUUUGUGGGAUGGUGACUAAGGUGAAGUUCCUUUCUGAUUUGGAAACCUGUUUUGUGACUAAGAAAUGACCUACUGCAUGGGGAUGCCCUGGGUUAGUGAAUGGGU